GAAAUAGAGGAAACUAGACGUCGGAGGAGAGAGGCUGAAGAAGAUGAUGGUGAAAUGUAUGACGAGUUUGGAAAUCUGAAGAAGAAGUUUCGUGCUAAAACACAGCGAGCAGAAGCAGCCCAGAGCCUCCCCCCUGGAGUAGGACGCGCUGGAUGGGAAGCUGAGGAAUUAGGGGUGGCGGAGCGAGAUAGAAAGGAAAGAAGCAGAGAAAGAUCAAGAGAUUAUGAUGAUAGGGAGAGAGCUAGGCAUCGAAGCAGAAGUCGGGAAAGGGAUAGGGGAAGAGAUAGAGACCGCUCCUACGACUAUGAUCGAGACAGAGAAUAUGGUCGUGACCGCGACCGUGAGCGGAACAAGUAUCGUCAUUGAAGAUUGCGUGCGACCAUUCCAUCAAAUAUGGUAUUCAUCAAACUUUGUUUGUCUCAUGUUUUUGUAUGGGUGGCUACUCGUAUGGCACCUUCUUAAGGUUGCUUCAUUUCUGUCAGAUUCAUAUGUCGACUUUUCGACUUAAUCUUGGUCAUUUUUUUUCACUCAUAUGUUGAAUAUUUGACGUGCAUUUCGCAGCGUCUUUUGCCUUAUUUGUACGUCCCUUUCUUUCU
rnacentral:misc_RNA from 1 species